rnacentral:lncRNA from 1 species
UACACCUUCAACUACUUUCUCUUCAAGAACUUGAUUGCUUUUCCCCGUCUCUGGUAAGUUUUUUUCUUGUUUUUUGUGUAAAUAUACGUUGUAUUACUUUCGAAUUCUUUUCUUUACUUUUAUUUUUUGCGUUUUUUGUCAAUUUAUGUAUGUUCUAGCUAUGGGCGAUCUAGUGUGGGAUGUCGCUAUUUUACGAGACGACGUACAAGAACUGAAGAGGCAGGUACAUGAUAUACAGUGGGAGUUGGCCGCUGUCAGAGUAAGGAUGUUGCAGG